GAUACGACCUGUGCUACGGUUCAGACAUAGUGCACCUAACGGCCGCCGUCCGACCCGCCCCCAUUAAUUUAGUUGUGCACGCCAGGCAAUCCAUACAGCCUCUCUCCCGAAGAUUCGUUCCCCUCUGCCUCCCUCUCAUCGUCUUCUUCACCCUCCUCGGCAAGGACCAGAUCGGGAAAGAUGACCACUUAUCUUCUUCUCCGGCCGACGGGUACUGCCGCUGAUCCAUUGGCGACAAGGUGGUCAACUUUAUCUCUCGAGCCGGGAUGCUGGGUCAUGCCAGUUUUUUGAGAUCCACGGACACGUUCACACGUACCUGCCGGAGUUGACUCGCCAUGGCAUGUCCCAGUCCCACGUGCUUCACCAUAGAUCCAGGCGCGAGCACAACUUCGUCCACAGCUGCCAGGCAAAGAUCCAACAAGCUCAGGGACGCCCCCCUGCGCUGCACCGCACUGCUGCUCGACGGACAGCCAACGCACGGUGCUGCUUUUGGCUUGCACCAACCAACUCCUUGUUGCGGCUAUCCUGUUCUUAAUCUUCGCGAGAUGAGCACUUAGUUUUAGUGUAGAGUCCUGUAAUGGGGAGAGUCUAAUUUCGUGAUUACAUUAAGUAGUACGAACACGUGUAAGCUGCAUGCUAAUGUCCUGUCUUUUGUUCUCCCACUGCUAUAUGUUAUUGUCGUGUCGAAGCAUGUAAUCAUGGUUAUCUCUGUAUAAUAUUAAUCAAGUUCUACCCUCAUGGCAGGCAUUUUUAUUGACGAUUUCUUAUGACUCACACUACAUUUAAUUAAUCAUAACCUCUCAUUUUUUUAUUCACUAUGUGUAGUCACAUCAAUCAUAGCCCAGGAGGAAGAUCUGUUAGGCGGAGAACACCUUUGAUCUUGGUGCACCAGCAGUCGCCGGCUUUUCAGCCUCAUUAUUUUCGCCGAUAUUAUGGCCUCGAGAUGUCGGAUAAAGGCAGCUGCGACGGGGAGACCGCUGAUGACAUCGUUCAUGAAGAUAGCCAAAAUUCAGCAGAGUGGUGACUCAGCUGUGCCACCAGCACCGACAUCUCGCAUGUCUGUCAAGCACACUAUUGAAGUCAUACAGACAUUCAAUGAGUUCAAGUGAUUACUUGUCAUGAGCUUUGGCUUUGGCGGCAUGCUCGAACUCCUAAUGUUGCAGAAACUGAACCUCAAAUUCAGUACUUGGACAAUGAGCAAGGUCAGCACCACCCGAUGCGCCAUUGUCCUGGCUGAGAACAAGAUACUUAAGUUCUGAGCAUAGGAUGUUCACAAAGUCUUUGGAAUCCCAUGUAGACAUCGCAACAUAAAGGGUUGGGAUGGCCACAUCAAGCCAGAAGAAAUUAAGUUCAUAAAGUCGAUGUGCUUGUCGGCAAUAGACUCAUUGGUCAUGAACUGAUGUGCUUGCUUUUCCGCCAUUUUGCUCAGCCUGAUUGUCAAGCAGAUACCGAAAACCCCUAUCUAAGGUGGAGGCACCCUAUCGAACCUGAUUUCUCAGUAAGCCCGUCACUCCAGUUUUUUGAAGCUCCCCAAUUACUCUGGUGUUGUCUGAUUCUGGUUUCUUCCACACGGUAACAAUACAGAAGUAGUUAUCUGCUGACUCGAUCAAGUAUGACAUAGCAUCGUCUCAAGCGUUCAUCACACCGGUGCCGCGCCCGGAAGGCUGGAUGAUUCUAGUGUGGGAUAUGCUACAAAAAGUAUUAAAUGUGACUGAUCCUCUUUAUGCCAAAAGUUCAACCAAUCACCCAUACAAGGAACGCGACGAAGCCUUGGCAUGGAAGCUGCACAAUGCAUUACUCUCGUGCCUUGGCAUGAAUUCUAUCCCGGAUGGCCAGCAACCAAGGAAAACUGGUGGAUCAAGCAUGAACCCACAACCGAUGACAUCUUCACGACGUAAGUGACACCAGGUCAGGACUACAUCCUUAUUGCUGAAAAGACUCACCCCUCGUUCCAUGUGGCACGCUUUCUGCAUUUUUGCAGCGAUAAGACAGGUUUCUGCACAAUGCAUUUCCAACCUGGAAAUUGACACCUCCAUACAAAUUUGUUCACAGCACAACAUAUCCAAAAUACAGAGGGACAGCCUGCAUGAGUGCUUGAAGCUGCAGGGUAAUUUUUCCCAGAUUUCUAAGAAGGCAUUGUGGAAAGUCUUAGCACCUUCAGACUCCUUCGACGACUAGGAAUCCUCCUUCAUCACUCACCGGAGGAAAUUUCAUGCAUCACAUCCUGAUAGUUAUUUGUAGCUUCCCCGUAGAGUUUUUUGGGUUGUAAGGCAGUACAAAUACCAUGAACUUGCCAAAGCUAUGUUGGUUUCAGAUUCUGCCAGAACCUUGUUUAAUUUCUUAUCUGCUUCCCAUUGCUUUGAUCAUCUA